rnacentral:lncRNA from 1 species
AAUCAGAAGGAAGACUCAUGUUUCUUUUGGAAAAAGCCAAACAGAUCUCUGCUGGCAUCUAGAAGGUUCGUGUGGAGAAGCAAGGAGCUGGAAUCACAGUAUGGGAAAAAUUAUGGGACAGUCUGGCCCGUGGUGUGUUUCCAUUUGGCCAGCUGCCUUUACAGCAUAGAAGAUGAAGAAGUGCAGAUUGAUGGAAGAGCUGAACUUCUUUUGGGUAAGCUUAUAAACUUUUACAGUGAUUUGGGGAGCUUAGGUAUCUCUAAGUACCACCAUUCCUCUAAGGCACCACCGCACCUGUAAGUUAUGGAGGGUUACCACUGCAGGAGGUUUGGGGGCCAGCCUACACCCCAGUUUUUCUCAUUCACUUCUGCUGGGAUUGGGCUCUCCUAAUGAUGUGGAAAAGGGAGAAGUCACCAAGUCAGCUUUCUGUAUGGCAACAGGGAA